rnacentral:tRNA from 1 species
AUCUCUUGAGUAUGACUCAGUACAUUUGCCUUCCAAGCAGAAAGAUUAAAUAUAAUUUAAAAGAGAUA